UACGCAGGGUGCAAACGUUGCUCGGAAUUAUUGGGCGUAAAGCGCACGUAGGCGGCUUAGCAAGUCGGAUGUGAAAUCUCUCGGCUCAACCAAGGAAGUGCAUCCGAAACUGCUGAGCUUGAGUACUAAAGAGGGUCGCGGAAUUCCCGGUGUAGAGGUGAAAUUCGUAGAUAUCGGGAGGAACACCGGUGGCGAAGGCGGCGACCUGGGUAGAUACUGACGCUGAGGUGCGAAAGCGUGGGGAGCAAACAGG
rnacentral:rRNA from 1 species